GGCCCCUCCAGACGAUGGCCAUUCCUGUUGCCUUGGUCCGCAGGAACGAUGGGUUAUGCAUGAACUUUGUAGAACAUGGCCUUGUCUUCACCAACGCGGAGGAGAGCCCGUUCGGUUCCAGAGAGGAUGCUGCCUCAUCUCGUCUCUAAAAGAGGAGGAAGGGGAGCAGGUCCCUUCACGUUCUCUGGUCUCAGCUGAGAACUCUCCCUGGAAGUAGCGGGCCGUGAAAUGUUUCACAAGUGACACCAGUGAUGCUGUUAAACAAGGACAAUCCGGUUCAUGGAUUGUGACAACGCACGCUGACAUCAAGCAGACCCUGCCGUCAGGUACAGAGGGCACCACAGUGACCAGGAACUGCUGUCCUUUCAUACCAGGUUUUAGGAGGCUUUACCAGAAGGAAUGGAAAAUGCUGGUGGGCAGUAAGAUUGAAACAGCAUCUGAGGACUGGUUCUGCACAAAACCUUAAAUUCUUCAAGGACUUUGACAUUUGUUUAUUCUUGUAACAAAUUAAAACCUAUCCUGUGUGUUGGUUAGAGAUCUUCAAACUGUAAAUACCUUGAGGCAGGAGUGAGGUUUUUAUCUUUUAAAGGACAGGCCCCUACUCUCCUACGUAAUGAGUUUCUAAAAAUGGAUGUGAGCACCAAUCAAUAUUUCUCUGGUUGUUAAAGUCAAGAAUAAAAUGGUAUUUUUAAG
rnacentral:lncRNA from 1 species